rnacentral:tRNA from 1 species
AUUUAUAUAGUAUAUAAAAUUACAUUUAACUUCCAAUUAAAAAAAUUAAUUAAUUAUUAAUAUAAAUA